ACCAAUUUGGGAAGCGUAGACACUAAAAUAAACAAAUUUAUUAUCUAUUCCUAUCAGUUUAAUAUCUGACAAGAGGGCUAUUGGAUCACAUGGUAUUAAAUUUAUUUUUUGAGGGAAGGGUCCACCACAGCAGCUUGCUACUGGGACUAUCAAGUGUCGCCCUAACAUUGCACUAUUGCUCGGGCCUACAGCACCCCC